rnacentral:rRNA from 1 species
UACGUAGGGUGCAAGCGUUAAUCGGAAUUACUGGGCGUAAAGCGUGCGCAGGCGGUUUUGUAAGCCAGAUGUGAAAUCCCCGGGCUUAACCUGGGAAUGGCGUUUGGGACUGGGUCGCUAGAGUGUGGCAGAGGGAGGUGGAAUUCCACGUGUAGCAGUGAAAUGCGUAGAGAUGUGGAGGAACACCGAUGGCGAAGGCAGCCUCCUGGGCCAGCACUGACGCUCAUGCACGAAAGCGUGGGGAGCAAACAGG